CUCCGGAGGCAGGAAAGGCUUCGGCCGGACAGGGAUGGGCAUGCGGCGCAUUAGGCAGUAGGCGGGGUAACGGCCCACCUAACCGACGAUGCGUAGGGGUUCUGAGAGGAAGGUCCCCCACACUGGUACUGAGACACGGACCAGACUCCUACGGGAGGCAGCAG
rnacentral:rRNA from 1 species